rnacentral:rRNA from 1 species
UUGCAUUUUCCAAGUAAGUGGCGAACGGGUGAGUAACACGUGAAUAACCUACCUCAAAGUCUGGGAUAACCAUUGGAAACAGUGACUAAUACCGGAUAAAACCCAAGUGCACAUGCGCUAAGGUUAAAAGCUGCGUUUGCAGCGCUUUAAGAUGGAUUCGCGGUGCAUUAGUUAGUUGGUGAGGUAAAGGCUCACCAAGACGAUGAUGCAUAGCCGAGUUGAGAGACUGACCGGCCACAUUGGGACUGAGACACGGCCCAAACUCCUACGGGAGGCUGCAGUAGGGAAUCUUCCACAAUGGGCGCAAGCCUGAUGGAGCAACGCCGCGUGUGUGAUGAAGGCUUUCGGGUCGUAAAGCACUGUUGUAUGGGAAGAACGGGUUUAAGAGGAAAUGCUUAGACAGUGACGGUACCAUACCAGAAAGGGACGGCUAAAUACGUGCCAGCAGCCGCGGUAAUACGUAUGUCCCGAGCGUUAUCCGGAUUUAUUGGGCGUAAAGCGAGCGCAGACGGUUGCUUAAGUCUGAAGUGAAAGCCCACAGCUCAACUGUGGAAUGGCUUUGGAAACUGGGCAACUUGAGUGCAGUAGAGGUAAGUGGAACUCCAUGUGUAGCGGUGGAAUGCGUAGAUAUAUGGAAGAACACCAGUGGCGAAGGCGGCUUACUGGACUGUAACUGACGUUGAGGCUCGAAAGUGUGGGUAGCAAACAGGAUUAGAUACCCUGGUAGUCCACACCGUAAACGAUGGAUACUAGUUGUUAGAGGGUUUCCGCCCUUUAGUGACGAAGCAAACGCAUUAAGUAUCCCGCCUGGGGAGUACGACCGCAAGGUUGAAACUCAAAGGAAUUGACGGGGACCCGCACAAGCGGUGGAGCAUGUGGUUUAAUUCGAAGCAACGCGAA